rnacentral:rRNA from 1 species
CCUACGGGAGGCAGCAGUGAGGAAUAUUGGUCAAUGGGAGAGAUCCUGAACCAGCCAAGCCGCGUGAGGGAAGACGGCCCUAUGGGUUGUAAACCUCUUUUGUCGGAGAACAAAACCCGGGACGUGUCCCGGACUGCGUGUAUCCGAAGAAAAAGCAUCGGCUAACUCCGUGCCAGCCGCCGCGGUAAUACGGGGGAUGCGAGCGUUAUCCGGGUUUCUUGGGUUUAAAGGGUGCGUAGGCGGUCCGUUAAGUCAGCGGUAAAAUUGCGGGGCUCAACCCCGUCGAGCCGUUGAAACUGGCAGACUUGAGUUGGCGAGAAGUACGCGGAAUGCGCGGUGUAGCGGUGAAAUGCAUAGAUAUCGCGCAGAACUCCGAUUGCGAAGGCAGCGUACCGGCGCCAGACUGACGCUGAGGCACGAAAGCGUGGGGAUCGAACAGGAUUAGAUACCCGGGUAGUC